rnacentral:rRNA from 1 species
UAAUACGUAGGGUGCGAGCGUUAAUCGGAAUUACUGGGCGUAAAGGGUGCGCAGGCGGUUAUGUAAGUCAGAUGUGAAAUCCCCGGGCUUAACCUGGGAAUUGCGUUUGAAACUACAUGACUAGAGUGUAACAGAGGGAAGUGGAAUUCCAUGUGUAGCAGUGAAAUGCGUAGAGAUAUGGAGGAACAUCGAUGGCGAAGGCAGCUUCCUGGGUUAACACUGACGCUCAUGCACGAAAGCGUGGGGAGCAAACAGGAUUAGAUACCCUGGUAGUCCACGCCCUAAACUAUGUCAACUAGUUGUCGGAUCUUAACAGAUUUGGUAACGUAGCUAACGCGUGAAGUUGACCGCCUGGGGAGUACGGUCGCAAGAUUAAAACUUAAAGGAAUUGACGG